rnacentral:tRNA from 1 species
GCAGGUGUAGUUCAAUGGUAGAACCUCAGCCUUCCAAGCUGAUUAUGAGGGUUCGAUUCCCUUCACCUGCUCCA